rnacentral:rRNA from 1 species
AGAGUUUGAUCCUGGCUCAGGAUGAACGCUAGCGGCAGGCUUAACACAUGCAAGUCGAGGGGCAACGCGAGUAGCAAUACUUGGCGGCGACCGGCGCAAGGGUGCGUAACGCGUGAGCAACAUGCCCGUAUCAGGGGGAUAAUCCAGGGAAACUUGGUCUAAUACCCCAUAGUAAUUUUGUAAGGCAUCUUAUAAGAUUUAAAGCUUUGGUGGAUACGGAUUGGCUCGCGUGACAUUAGCUGGAUGGUAAGGUAACGGCUUACCAUGGCUAUGAUGUCUAGGGGUUCUGAGAGGAAGGUCCCCCACACUGGAACUGAGACACGGUCCAGACUCCUACGGGAGGCAGCAGUGAGGAAUAUUGGACAAUGGAUGGAAAUCUGAUCCAGCCAUGCCGCCGUGAAGGAAGAAGGUCCUAUGGAUUGUAAACUUCUUUUGUAUGGGAGCAAUAAGGCCUACGAGUAGGUUGAUGAGAGUACCAUACGAAUAAGCACCGGCUAACUCCGUGCCAGCCGCGGC